rnacentral:rRNA from 1 species
AACGAACGCUGGCGGCAUGCCUAACACAUGCAAGUCGAACGAGACCUUCGGGUCUAGUGGCGCACGGGUGCGUAACGCGUGGGACCUGCCCUUAGGUUCGGAAUAACCCCCCGAAAGGGGUGCUAAUACCGGAUAAUGUCUUCGGACCAAAGAUUUAUCGCCUUUGGAUGGGCCCGCGUUGGAUUAGCUAGUUGGUAGGGUAAAAGCCUACCAAGGCGACGAUCCAUAGCUGGUCUGAGAGGAUGAUCAGCCACACUGGGACUGAGACACGGCCCAGACUCCUACGGGAGGCAGCAGUGGGGAAUAUUGGACAAUGGGCGAAAGCCUGAUCCAGCAAUGCCGCGUGAGUGAUGAAGGCCUUAGGGUUGUAAAGCUCUUUUACCCGGGAUGAUAAUGACAGUACCGGGAGAAUAAGCUCCGGCUAACUCCGUG